UGGUGAAAUAGUUGCCUCAGACUGAGUUCAGCUCAAUAAGGCAGUGAUUGGUGCUGGAAGGAGGAAGAGAAGGCAAGAACCAAGAAAAAUACACAAAUGGUUUUCUCCUUUCCUCUAGGUCUUCUGUUAUUAGUAAAGAGAAAACCUCUGUACAAGAUAACCAACAAUAAAGCCUCCCUUGUUGAUAACAAAAAUCCUGGACCACAAAAUAUAUUUAUCAACACUGAUAGCAGUGGCAGAUCAAAAACAGAACCAAGGACUCUGGGGGAAAAAAGGUCCACUUAGCAGCAGCAUUACAGGUAAAAUACCCAAGAGCCCUAAGAAACCAGGAUCCUGUAACUUGGGGGGAAAAAUCAGACGCAUGCUUUGUUUCUCACUUCACUGGGAUUCCCACUGUAUCUUUCAUUUCCCUUUUUCUAACUCUAAUUUCAUUCUUUUCUGUUCUGACUUAAAAAAAAAAAAAAAAAGCAAAACUCUGCAAUGCCUAAGUAAUUUAUUGGUGACCAUUUUAAGUACACUAUUUGUACGUAUCUUUAGUCAAAACCCAUUUGAAGUCACUGAAACUGCUUUGCGAGGAAAUGUUUGCUCUUGUGAAACUCUGGCCUGAUUCGGUUUACUGAAGUCAUAAAAUGUUCAAGUCAGAAAGGCCAUUUUGAUUCUUAUACAUGAAGAAACCGGGGCAAGAGAAACGGAUUAGAGUCGGCCUGGUGAUUACACAGCAGGCUUCCUGAGCUGCAGAUGAUUACUCUUUCCAUCCCUCUGCGCUGCCGCUGCCACACUGGGUGAAAAAGGCUUGUUUUAGGAAAGGAAGCUCACGGAGAUUGUGAAAUAAAUCCUGAGGCCCGGAACAAGUGUAUAUCUAGGAAAUUGGCAAUUUCGAAUCAUGUUCCUGUGUGUAUCCAGAGACAGAGGAGAAAUCAGAUUCGAGUCUAUACCAUGAAAGACUUUCAUUUUUCCCCUUGGAUAGCUCCUUAGUUACCUGAGCUGGUUUAAUGGAGCUCAAACUCCUGUGCCUAUACGGAUCCAAGUGUGCCUCUAACAGCACUCUCUCACUCAGUGCUUAGGGAACACAUUUUGGCUCUUCGCUCAAGCAAGUAUUUUUUCAUUUUAGUCAUUUGCUCAGUCUGUAAAACCCAGUAAUCAGCCAGUACUCAAGGUCUAGUAGUAAGCAGUGUUCUGCUAUGGCAGAAACACAUAUAUACCAGGUAACCCACCGGCUUGUCCACAGCCUGGCAGGCUUCCUCGUGGCAGCUGCCGCUGUCCCUCAGCUUAUGCCCAGGAUGCUCUAAGCUCGGCACCCAGCACCCAGGUCUCAGGCUGCAGCCCUGGCUGAAGGCACCUUUGUUCCACUGACUUGCUCUGGUCACCUAGUCUGUCACUGCAGAUUUUAGCCGUGUCCGGAGAUGGGACUGCUGUUCUUGCCCAGAAUAUUCUGUAUCAAUUAAAGCAGCCUUAGAAGAGUUGCUGCCAUUUUCACAUAUCCAGUAGAAAGUGGAUUUUCACAACCACUGUGAUAAAAACAAAGUAUCAGAAAGAAGUAGCCGUUCAGACUCCAUUUUGGGUGGCACUAAAAUCUUAAUUUUACUUACUUUUUGUAAGACCCUAAAGUCUUAACAUCUAUAAACAAACUUCUAUCAGUAAAACCAUAGCAUUGUAAAAUAAAAUAUUAUGGUACAACCUUGUUUCCUUUGAAAUUAUUUUUAACAUUUCCAGUUUUUCUUUAUUGACAGUAUAAAGCUGCUAACUGUCCACUGUCUGAGAUUUUGAUUUUAAAAUGUUUUAUGAAGUGGUUGUAAUAAGGAACAGUAGUUAUAGUUUUAAUAUCCUCAUAUUUGACAGACUAGAAAGUUAUCACCUAUGUUGAAACUGUGCUGCUGCAGAGACAAUGCUGUAUCCUUAACCCACUGUGCCACAGUGGGAACGCCUACAUUCUUUUAAGUUAGCUAUUGGGCACUGAAAUUUUUGAGGUAGAUGAGGGUUAGCUAUUUUCUUCCAAUCUCUAUACUGAGUUGGGGGAAAAAAAAAAAUCAAGCUCAGCUCAAACUCUCCCACAUAACAAAUGUUAACAAAACGUUCAUUAGCAAGCAUGCAAAAAUUUAUGCAAACUGUUCUGUAAGCUCAGGGAAGCCUUACUUCUGUUUUGGCAGUUUACCCACCACAUUCCAUGGAAGAUCCACUUAAGGCAAACUUGACAAUAGUCCAGAGAUGGGAUUUUCCUAAUCCAGUCAGCAACGAGCAACGAGCAACCAGAAGUCCCUAGACAAAAUGGCAGGAAGUAAGACCAUUUAGAGGGUCAAGCCACAGGCCUUACUAGAUCUUAUAUCCUUUCCAUGUGAGGAAUACCUGAAUUCAUAUACCCUGAGUACUUCCAGUUUUACCAAUGAGAGCCACUACUAUUAACCAUUAUACUGAUCAACGAGCUAUUUUUUCAAAAAGAAAACUUACUUCAAACAUUUAUUCUGAUUAUCGAAAUCUCUGGCGGUGACUGAGAUAUGGAAGCCAGAAAACACUUCUAACGGCUGCCUGUGGCAUCUCUGUUUAGAGAACUAGCUGUUGACUGCUGGGGCAGGAAAUCCAUGUUAGAGCUGCCAGCUGCUUCAGAGGCGCAUGUAACAUGACACAUGUAUAAAAACACUACUCAUACGUAACUGGGAAAAAAGAAAAUGCCAUACAAUAUCCCCAAUUCCACAGGACCCCACAGACUUUGUUUCAGAUGGGACAAGGCCAGCAGUGUGAAAACAGGGAAGGGGAAAAGGGAGUUUGUACUGUCCUGAAAACUCCCUCACCUUAAACUGUAGGAAAGGCCCCAUGCUGCCCUUUCAGCAAUUGUAACUACUUGAUAGCACCAAAAAUUCUGUGGCUUCUUAUAAAAAUGAUUGUGUGACCAGACUUAUUUUUAUUAGAACAGAGAACUUAACAAAUCAUUUUAUUUGUAUUAUUUUGAAUCAUUUCAUCAGUUUUAGGUGGAAGCACAUCAACAUCAAGCAGGGAAUAAACUAAUUAAAAACCUACCUAUUCAUAGUAAGCACAAUUUUUUACUGGAAAGAAUAUGAGAUAAACUUCAAAAAGGCAAAGGUAAACCUUAAAAAUAAGAUUAUAGUCUUCUAAAUGUGACAUGAACUGAACUUGUCAGUCACCAAAGCAUCCUGCUCUGCCUGAGAAAGCGCUCCCCCAGUGGUCUGUCCUAGGAACUUGAGCAAAGUUAAACUAGUAAAUUUCUAGAUCAACUAGAACACGCAUGUGUAGAAAAUUCUUUAUUAAAUCACACCUUAAUGUUAGGGUGACUUAGAAAGAAUUAAAUUUGUUACAUUCUGAAUUCUAAAUAACUCAAGUUAUGUGCAGUUAAAAUAACAGUCUUAAAUGUGCAAAAAUGUCGUCAUUAAAUUGAUAGAUAUUUUAAAUUCUUCAUAGGUUCAACUUUUGAAAAAUACAUUUGAUCAAAAGAAAUUCAGAAUUAAAGAACUGGAAUUACAUAGUGAUCAAUAACCCCAAAAUGGAGGUUCUUCCAUCUAACCAGUAUUUAUUCUAGGCACUAUUCUAAGCAUUAGACAUACCAAUGAACAAAAACCAAAAACAACUGCCUUAUUUUAAAUUUAAAGGAAAACUGCAGUCCUUGAAAUGUUUACUGAUUAAAUAUUCUCAUAAUUAUGCUUUAGAUUUGUUCUGUUCUUGGCAUUUAUCUAGACAAAAAAAUAUCUGGAAGUUUAUCAGACUCAAUCAUGUCCCUCUUCAACAUAUACUAUACUUUAUUCACAAAAUUCCAACUUCUUUAGUAACUGCUGGGCAUCCUGAGACUGCUUUGAGAAUGAUUAGUUUUCGGGUACUUAAUCCCAGGCUAGAUACCUGGGACUGUACAAACUAUACUCGGGCCUGGGAACAGUGCCCAACAGUGUCCUAGAGGAGCUUUUUUCCCUGAAGUUCUUUGCUGAAAUAACUCUCCAAAGGCCAGAAGUACGUGCUCACUGAGAGACACUGCGCUGUUGUCAUGUGGUUCAGAAACCUCAUUAAAUUGAAUUAAAUUAAUUAAUUAAUUUUUUUUAGGACUGCACCCAAGGCAUACGGAGGUUCCCAGGCUUGGGGUUGAAUCAGAGUUGUAGCUGCAAUGCGGGAUCCAGGCCGCAUCUGCGACCUACACCACAGCUCAUGGCAACGCUGGAUCCUUAACCCACUGAGCAAGGCCAGGGAUCGAACCCGCAUCCUCGUGGAUACUAAUCAGAUUCAUUUCCACUAAGUCACAACAGGAACUCCCAAAAACGUCAUUUUAGUUAUAUGUUUUUUCUACUAGAAAACAAGUUUGAUAAUUUCAGUAAAUAUACUUUAUUAAAUAAUAUCUACAUAUGACAAAAAUUAUUUCAUUGACAACUGCUCAAAGUGUAAAAUCACUUAAUAACUGGUUUUGUACACCCUGGUUUGGUUGAGAAACUCUUAUAGGCAAAUAUAGGGUAGCUAAUAAGUACUUACUAUACCAAACAGCUUUCAGAACAAGAUGAAAAUCUGUAACUCUGAAGACUGUUUAUAUCUUGUUCAUAGUUGUCCUCAAAAAUGUACACUUUAAAAACAAAUCAUAUAUUCAGACUUGUUCGGAGAUGCCUAAGUUUCAGAACAUUUGUGAAGAAAUCAUAAGGCAGUCACUUUAAUGCAAUUAAAUUGCCAUUUUU